AGCUUUUCCGGUCAGCGGCCUGAGGUGACCUCUAAAAAUGGUUCGCUAUUCACUUGACCCAGAAAAUCCCACAAAAUCAUGCAAGUCGAGAGGUUCAAAUCUUCGUGUUCACUUUAAGAACACUCGUGAAACAGCCCAGGCCAUUAAGGGUAUGCAUAUCCGAAAAGCCACUAAGUAUCUGAAGGAUGUCACUUUAAAGAAGCAGUGUGUGCCAUUCCGUCGCUACAAUGGUGGAGUUGGUAGGUGUGCCCAGGCCAAACAGUGGGGCUGGACGCAGGGUCGGUGGCCCAAAAAGACUGCUGAAUUUUUACUGCACAUGCUCAAAAAUGCAGAGAGUAAUGCUGAACUUAAGGGCUUAGAUGUAGAUUCUCUGGUCAUUGAGCACAUCCAGGUGAACAAAGCCCCCAAGAUGCGGCGCAGGACUUAUAGAGCUCAUGGUCGGAUCAACCCAUACAUGAGCUCUCCGUGCCACAUUGAGAUGAUCCUUACUGAAAAAGAACAGAUUGUUCCUAAACCAGAAGAGGAGGUUGCCCAGAAGAAAAAGAUAUCCCAGAAGAAAUUGAAGAAACAAAAACUUAUGGCCCGGGAAUAAAUGCUGCAAAAAAUAAAUGCAAAUGAAAGUAAAA